rnacentral:rRNA from 1 species
GUCCGGAUUGGAGUCUGCAACUCGACUCCAUGAAGUCGGAAUCGCUAGUAAUCGUGGAUCAGAAUGCCACGGUGAAUACGUUCCCGGGCCUUGUACACACCGCCCGUCACACCAUGGGAGUGGGUUGCAAAAGAAGUAGGUAGCUUAACCUUCGGGAGGGCGCUUACCACUUUGUGAUUCAUGACUGGGGUGAAGUCGUAACAAGGUAACCGUAGGGGAACCUGCGGUUGGAUCACCUCCUU